AAGGCUUUAGCAUAGUCAAUGAAGCAGAAAUAGAUGUUUUUCUGGAAGUCUCUUACUUUUUCCAUGAUCCAACAGAUGUUGGCAAUUUGAACUCUGGCUCGUCUGUCUUUUUUAAAUCCCGCUUGAACAUUUGCAAUUUCUUGGU